rnacentral:tRNA from 1 species
CAGAGGGUAGUUAAAUUUAGAAUGCUGGCUUUGGGAGCCAGUGGUGGAAG